rnacentral:lncRNA from 1 species
GAGGCAGGAGAAUUGCUUGAACCCGGGAGGUGGACGUUGCAGUGAGCCAAGAUCCCGCCACUGCACUCAGCCUGGGCAAGAGAGCGAGACUCCGUCUCGAAAAAAAAAAAAAUGGUGCUCCCACAUUUCUUUCUUGGGAUGGAGGAAGCUUUCCCAGAAGCGCUCCUGACCGACUUUCCCACACAUCUCACUGGUCAGAACUGCAUCACUUGCCGUUUCUGACCAAUCACCAGCUUACAUUCAUGGGGCACGUGCUUACACUAACCAUGGCACUCCUCGAGCUAAGUGGAGCUCAUGCGUCAUAUGGAGGGGUAGUGACUCCUGAGCAAAACCAGGUUCAAAGAGGGAGGGGAUCGUAGGGAAAAGAAUGUGCGGAAGUGCGGAGGCCCAGCCAACAGCCUGCUAACUGCAGAUACUCGAGAGCGGCCACCCUAGAUCAUCUGACCCAGGCUGGCCCACGCUAGAAUUGCCCAGUGACCCGCAAGGUCAUGAGCUAAUUGAGCUAAAUAAAAUCAUUGUGUUUUUUUGUUUGUUUGUUUUGUUUUUGUUGUUUUGUUUUUUGAGACAGAGUCUCACUCUGUCACCCAGGCUGGAGUGCAGUGGUGCGAUCUUGGCUCACUGCAACCUCUGCCUCCCGGGUUUUCAAACGAUUCUUCUGCUUCUGCCUCAGCCUCCCGAGUAGCUGGGAUUACAGGCACGCGCCACUACACCCGGCUAAUUUUUAUAUUUUUAGUAGAGACGGGGGUUUCGCCAUGUUGGCCAGGCUGGUCUCCAACUCCUGACCU